GCCUUCGUGGUGUAACGGUAGCACGCUGGGUCAGUAUUCCAGAGGUCCGUGGUUCGAUUCCCGGCGAAGGCG
rnacentral:tRNA from 1 species